CCACAGCUACAACCGCGCAGUGUAAGUUUUAAGUUCGUAAAAGACACUUAUCUCUGGCGAGUCUAAGCAUAUAU
rfam:Lactobacillus lindneri DSM 20690 = JCM 11027 strain DSM 20690 NODE_49, whole genome shotgun sequence.